rnacentral:rRNA from 1 species
UACAGAGGUCUCAAGCGUUGUUCGGAUUCAUUGGGCGUAAAGGGUGCGUAGGUGGCGGGGCAAGUCUGGUGUGAAAUCCCGGGGCUCAACCCUGGAACUGCACUGGAUACUGCUUUGCUAGAGUACUGGAGAGGGAACUGGAAUUUACGGUGUAGCAGUGAAAUGCGUAGAUAUCGUAAGGAAGACCAGUGGCGAAGGCGAGUUCCUGGACAGUUACUGACACUGAGGCACGAAGGCCAGGGGAGCAAACAGG